AUUCAAUUGCAAGACGGGGCGAGAUUGCCAAAUAGCUGUUAAUAGCCAUACCGAUGGAGUUUGUGGCAUGAAUUAUGCAUGCCACCGGCAGCAGGCAACCGUUAAGUGGCAACUUGCAUGGCCACCAAUUGCAUUUCAUUUGCAGAUACAUGCGUAUGUAUCCUCUUGCUACAUAUGUUUAUGUAUCUGCAUCUGCAUUUGUAUCUGUAUCUGUAUCUCGUAAUGCGAGUGCAACCCUUUUGCAGUCGCUGCCCAUAUAAUCUGAAAGAACUCGUGUGGAACAUCUGCCCGCUGCGUGUGCUUAUGAAUUACUAAAAAGCCUAAUAGAACAACAACAACAACAACGAAUAGCAACAAAUUCAAAAUGGAUUCAUGGAUGAAUAAAAAAUGAAAUGAAAUGAUAACAAACACCAACAAAGAGGACAACAACAACAACAACAAGAGCGGUAGCAAUAACAACCCCGUAACUGAGCCGCGACCCUUCAUAAGCAUCAAAUAAUACCAAACCCUCUCCUCUCCCCUCUUCCUCGCACUCAUUUCUCCAUCCGUGUCAAAUUAGCCGCGUCUUCAACAUGGUUGCACUGUAGAUUUUCAGAGUCGAGUGCCUUUUCCCUAUCAGAAAGAGAGAGAGAGAGAAAGGUGCAGCAUCUCUCUUCCAGCAGAGACACAAAGUCUAUGGCCACCAAAAGUUUCCCAGACAUAAUGUCGUUUAUCAUCGAGAACCGCUUCCAAUUCCUCCAUCGCCAUAUUCUCGACGUGGGUCGAGAGACAGCAAGUGGAAUUUGUAUGCAAAUCGAAACCCGUUUUCAAAAAUUUGAUGACGCCGAUUUGUCUCUACAUUCAUAAAAAAAACAUAUAGAAAAACGAUCAGACCAAAAAAAAAAAUAAAUAAACGAAAAGAAAAACCUAGGCAACAUUUCUCAGGUCAUCGGGAAAUCAAAGUCAAAGCGAAGCCGACCAGAACACGAUCAACAAAGCAUAAUUAAAGUCGGAAUAAAUUAUUAUAUUCAUUUUAAGAACGUGAGUUGGUUCAACAUACUGCAAGAUGUCGGUGGGAUCAUCCGGACUGGACAAUAAAGAAGCCGAGCAAUACUCGAAAAGGAAGUCGAUGGAUUCAAAGGAAUAUCAACCCUCAUAAAAUUUUCUUUCUUAAACGUUUCCCUGGCUGCUUUCUGAUUCAACUCUCCUCUUUGAGUCACGCAUUUGGAUCCUAAAUGGAAAUCUCGUUCGUACUCGUUGACUCAUUAGACAUAGGUUUAAUUUUAAUUUUAUUUUUUUGUGCCCGAUUCACAUAAAAUGUAUUUAUUUAAAUGACAAAGAUCGUUAAGAGUACCUCCCACACACAUUCAAGUCCAACGAUAAACUUCACAUCAACUACGAGCAUCAUAAAAAUCGAAAUACACGUCGCUCGGCUCGAGGGCUUUGGGUAUAUUAAGUAUCACGUUUGUUUCCACUAAAUAAAUGUAUAAUACCAAAUAGAAUAGAAAAUAAAAAAAUUAAAAAG